rnacentral:rRNA from 1 species
UUCAGCGAGAGACGCUAGCGUAAUACCGCUAGAAUGACAUCACUGCAGAAGAAGCACUGCUACUCCGUGCCAGCAGCCGCGGUAAUACGGAAGGGUGCAAGCGUUAAUCGGAAUUACUGGGCGUAAAGCGCGCGUAGGUGGCUUGAUAAGCCGGUUGUGAAAGCCCCGGGCUCAACAUGGGAACGGCAUCCGGGAACUGUCAAGCUAGAGUGCAGGAGAGGAAGGUAGAAUUCCCGGUGUAGCGGUGAAAUGCGUAGAGAUCGGGAGGAAUACCAGUGGCGAAGGCGGCCUUCUGGACUGACACUGACACUGAGGUGCGAAAGCGUGGGUAGCAAACAGGAUUAGAUACCCUGGUAGUCCACGCCGUAAACGAUGUCGACCAGCCGUUGGGUGCCUAGCGCACUUUGUGGCGAAGUUAACGCGAUAAGUCGACCGCCUGGGGAGUACGGCCGCAAGGUUAAAACUCAAAUGAAUUGACGGGGGCCCGCACAAGCGGUGGAGCAUGUGGUUUAAUUCGAUGCAACGCGAAGAACCUUACCUACUCUUGACAUCCUGCGAAUUUGGUAGAGAUACCUUAGUGCCUUCGGGAACGCAGAGACAGGUGCUGCAUGGCUGUCGUCAGCUCGUGUUGUGAAAUGUUGGGUUAAGUCCCGUAACGAGCGCAACCCUUGUCCUUAUUUGCCAGCGCGUAAUGGCGGGAACUCUAAGGAGACUGCCGGUGACAAACCGGAGGAAGGUGGGGACGACGUCAAGUCAUCAUGGCCCUUACGAGUAGGGCUACACACGUGCUACAAUGGUCGGUACAAAGGGUUGCCAACUCGCGAGAGUGAGCCAAUCCCGAAAAGCCGAUCUCAGUCCGGAUCGGAGUCUGCAACUCGACUCCGUGAAGUCGGAAUCGCUAGUAAUCGUGGAUCAGAAUGCCACGGUGAAUACGUUCCCGGGCCUUGUACACACCGCCCGUCACACCAUGGGAGUGGACUGCACCAGAAGUG